rnacentral:rRNA from 1 species
GUAGGGUGCAAGCGUUAAUCGGAAUUACUGGGGCGUAAAGCGUGCGCAGGCGGUUGUGCAAGACAGAUGUGAAAUCCCCGGGGCUCAACCUGGGGAAUUGCAUUUGUGACUGCACGGCUAGAGUGUGUCAGAGGGGGGUAGAAUUCCACGUGUAGCAGUGAAAUGCGUAGAGAUGUGGAGGAAUACCGAUGGCGAAGGCAGCCCCCUGGGAUAACACUGACGCUCAUGCACGAAAGCGUGGGGAGCAAACAGGAUUAGACACCCUGGUAGUCCACGCCCUAAACGAUGUCAACUAGUUGUCGGGUCUUAAUUGACUUGGUAACGCAGCUAACGCGUGAAGUUGACCGCCUGGGGAGUACGGUCGCAAGAUUA